UUUACCCUAUUUGAAAAAGGAAACAUAAAAUGUACCCACCCCAAAAUAAACAUAUAAAAUGUACCCAAUUGAGUGUUGAAAAGACUAGCAUGCCCUUAUUUUUCUUUUUGUUUUAUUUUUGUUUUUCACAUUUAUUUAAUGCCAUUAUGUUUCUUUUUCUUUUAAUUUUCGAUUUUCACAUUUGAAGGCUGAGUAAAACGAAAAUUGGUUGCUGCAACUUCAACAUUAAACACAAAACCAAAACACUUUUGAAAUAUUCAUCUUCAAAACCCCCAAAACUUCUUCAAUUGUGGGUUUCUUCAAUUCGAUCAUAAUCCGGUGGUUUGAAAGAUGAGCCAAUUAUGUAUGGUUGUAUCAUAUGGUGGUUCAUGGAAUAACGACAAGUAUGAGGGGGGCAUCGUGAAUAUCUCCGUUUUCCAUCAUCGGGCAUGACAUUCAACACAUUAGUAAGUCGGAUUCAAGGGAUUGUUUGUUUAGAUACAAAUAUUUAUGAUUAUUGGAUAUAUUCAUAUAUGAAAACUCCGGAAGAUGAAACUUUGAGAAUCAAGAUACUAGAUGAUGAUGAUUUAAAAUUAGUGAUUGAUUCUUUUCAAGUGCCGAA